GUGUCAGCCGCCGCGGUAAUACGGAGGGUGCAAGCGUUAAUCGGAAUUACUGGGCGUAAAGCGUGCGUAGGCGGCAUAAUAAGUCAGAUGUGAAAGCCCUGGGCUUAACCUAGGAACUGCAUUUGAGACUGUUAAGCUAGAGUUGAGUAGAGGUAAGUGGAAUUUCAGGUGUAGCGGUGAAAUGCGUAGAUAUCUGAAGGAACACCAGUGGCGAAGGCGACUUACUGGACUCAAACUGACGCUGAGGUACGAAAGCGUGGGUAGCAAACAGGAUUAGAUACCCUCGUAGUCC
rnacentral:rRNA from 1 species